rnacentral:tRNA from 1 species
CCGUUCAGCUCAGUUGGUAGAGCGCUCCUCUCGAAAGGAGAGGUCCCGGGUUCAACACCUGGACCAAGCGGA